AUGAUGAAUGGAACCUUCCAAAUCAUCCGCCUUUAUUUCGCCGAGUUCACGAGCUACGACUGGAUUUCCUGGUUCACGCUGAAACUGAGUCCAGUCCUUUCCAGCUUGACUGCAGAGAUGCUCCAGACAGUAACAUCAUAUACCGACUGCAACGCAUACCACAUCAUCGUCGGGGCUCUGAGCAGCCACUUUGAGCAGAUGACAUCGCUAAGACAGCAGGAGCUCACCGCAGUCCUGUUGGGCUACCUAAAGCAGAGUCAGGCAUCAGGUAGGUCCAGCAUAUUCAGCGCUUGUUUGUCUUGUGGGCUAAAUAAAAUAUCAAUACUUGGUGUCUGUGCAUCUUCGUCCGUCCUAACGAGUCUCUUUUGCACGUCCCUGUCGAAGGCUCAACCUGUGGGUCCGUCACCAGCAGCCUCAGUGUUUGGCUUGAAGAGAGCUUUGGCAAAUUCUCUGUCUACGUGGACUACCAAGACCUGCGUGCACUCAACGAGGCAUUUGGAAGUGUAAGGGGCCCACCGUGCCACUUGGUUGUUCUGGUGACUGCUUUGAGCAUGCACGUUGUUUCUACAGACGUUGUUGUUGUUGUUUUCCCUUCUGCAGUUCCAGGCACUGGACCUUCUGAGUGCCUCUCAAGUUGCUCAGCUGACCCUAACAUCUGGAGCGCUGAACAACGCAGAUCUGAUCACCAUGGUCUUUGAGCGUCUUGACGGCAGCAAUGCUUUCCAGGAUGUGGACCAGUUCUUGACGGUUCUCACCCAGACCUCGCAGGUACGUUCCCAUCCAUGAGAUGGCAAGCGCGCAGCUGUUCCGCUUUGUUUAGGAAAUUGUUAAAACAAGAUAGCCCGGGACAUUUUGUGUUGUACUCUGAAAUGGGAAUGUUGCCUUUCCUUUUGUUUGACCAUGAUUUUAGUACCCGACCCUGACCGUAGCCCAACAUAGCCCAAGAGUUUCUGUUGCGUACUCGGUGAUGGAAACAUUUGCUUUUCUCUUUGCUUUUCAUCACCUCUAGGUUUUGAACAUCAGCCCUGUGGUGAGAGACAUCAUGAUGAAUGGAACCUUCCAAAUCAUCCGCCUUUAUUUCGCCGAGUUCACGAGCUACGACUGGAUUUCCUGGUUCACGCUGAAACUGAGUCCAGUCCUUUCCAGCUUGACUGCAGAGAUGCUCCAGACAGUAACAUCAUAUACCGACUGCAACGCAUACCACAUCAUGUACGUAACGCUUUCCAUAUGCUAGCCAGCUCUGCAAUGUUUUCAGUUAACUGCGUCAUGCUUAGAUUUCUUCUGCCGUGUUUUGAUCCAAUCUAGCGUCGGGGCUCUGAGCAGCCACUUUGAGCAGAUGACAUCGCUAAGACAGCAGGAGCUCACCGCAGUCCUGUUGGGCUACCUAAAGCAGAGUCAGGCAUCAGGUAGGUCCAGCAUAUUCAGCGCUUGUUUGUCUUGUGGGCUAAAUAAAAUAUCAAUACUUGGUGUCUGUGCAUCUUCGUCCGUCCUAACGAGUCUCUUUUGCACGUCCCUGUCGAAGGCUCAACCUGUGGGUCCGUCACCAGCAGCCUCAGUGUUUGGCUUGAAGAGAGCUUUGGCAAAUUCUCUGUCUACGUGGACUACCAAGACCUGCGUGCACUCAACGAGGCAUUUGGAAGUGUAAGGGGCCCACCGUGCCACUUGGUUGUUCUGGUGACUGCUUUGAGCAUGCACGUUGUUUCUACAGACGUUGUUGUUGUUGUUUUCCCUUCUGCAGUUCCAGGCACUGGACCUUCUGAGUGCCUCUCAAGUUGCUCAGCUGACCCUAACAUCUGGAGCGCUGAACAACGCAGAUCUGAUCACCAUGGUCUUUGAGCGUCUUGACGGCAGCAAUGCUUUCCAGGAUGUGGACCAGUUCUUGACGGUUCUCACCCAGACCUCGCAGGUACGUUCCCAUCCAUGAGAUGGCAAGCGCGCAGCUGUUCCGCUUUGUUUAGGAAAUUGUUAAAACAAGAUAGCCCGGGACAUUUUGUGUUGUACUCUGAAAUGGGAAUGUUGCCUUUCCUUUUGUUUGACCAUGAUUUUAGUACCCGACCCUGACCGUAGCCCAACAUAGCCCAAGAGUUUCUGUUGCGUACUCGGUGAUGGAAACAUUUGCUUUUCUCUUUGCUUUUCAUCACCUCUAGGUUUUGAACAUCAGCCCUGUGGUGAGAGACAUCAUGAUGAAUGGAACCUUCCAAAUCAUCCGCCUUUAUUUCGCCGAGUUCACGAGCUACGACUGGAUUUCCUGGUUCACGCUGAAACUGAGUCCAGUCCUUUCCAGCUUGACUGCAGAGAUGCUCCAGACAGUAACAUCAUAUACCGACUGCAACGCAUACCACAUCAUGUACGUAACGCUUUCCAUAUGCUAGCCAGCUCUGCAAUGUUUUCAGUUAACUGCGUCAUGCUUAGAUUUCUUCUGCCGUGUUUUGAUCCAAUCUAGCGUCGGGGCUCUGAGCAGCCACUUUGAGCAGAUGACAUCGCUGAGACAGCAGGAGCUCACCGCAGUCCUGUUGGGCUACCAAAAGCAGAGUCAGGCAUCAGGUAGGUCCAGCAUAGGCAGAGCUUGUUUGUCUUGUGGGCUAAAUAAAAUAUCAAUUCUUGGUGUCUGUGCAUCUUCGUCCGUCCUAACGAGUCUCUUUUGCACGUCCCUGUCGCAGGCUCAACCUGUGGGUCCGACACCAGCAGCCUCAGUGUUUGGCUUGAAGAGAGCUUUGGCAAAUUCUCUGUCUACGUGGACUACCAAGACCUGCGUGCACUCAACGAGGCAUUUGGAAGUGUAAGGGGCCCACCGUGCCACUUGGUUGUUCUGGUGACUGCUUUGAGCAUGCACAUUGUUUCUACAGACGUUGUUGUUGUUUUCUCUUCUGCAGUUCCAGGCACUGGACCUUCUGAGUGCCUCUCAAGUUGCUCAGCUGACCCUAACAUCUGGAGCGCUGAACAACGCAGAUCUGAUCACCAUGGUCUUUGAGCGUCUUGACGGCAGCAAUGCUUUCCAGGAUGUGGACCAGUUCUUGACGGUUCUCACCCAGACCUCGCAGGUACGUUCCCAUCCAUGAGAUAGCAAGCGCGCAGCUGUUCCGCUUUGUUUAGAAAAUUGUUAAAACAAGAUAGCCCGGGACAUUUUGUGUUGUACUCUGAAAUGGGAAUGUUGCCUUUCCUUUUGUUUGACCAUGAUUUUAGUACCCGACCCUGACCGUAGCCCAACAUAGCCCAAGAGUUUCUGUUGCGUACUCGGUGAUGGAAACAUUUGCUUUUCUCUUUGCUUUUCAUCACCUCUAGGUUUUGAACAUCAGCCCUGUGGUGAGAGACAUCAUGAUGAAUGGAACCUUCCAAAUCAUCCGCCUUUAUUUCGCCGAGUUCACGAGCUACGACUGGAUUUCCUGGUUCACGCUGAAACUGAGUCCAGUCCUUUCCAGCUUGACUGCAGAGAUGCUCCAGACAGUAACAUCAUAUACCGACUGCAACGCAUACCACAUCAUGUACGUAACGCUUUCCAUAUGCUAGCCAGCUCUGCAAUGUUUUCAGUUAACUGCGUCAUGCUUAGAUUUCUUCUGCCGUGUUUUGAUCCAAUCUAGCGUCGGGGCUCUGAGCAGCCACUUUGAGCAGAUGACAUCGCUAAGACAGCAGGAGCUCACCGCAGUCCUGUUGGGCUACCUAAAGCAGAGUCAGGCAUCAGGUAGGUCCAGCAUAUUCAGCGCUUGUUUGUCUUGUGGGCUAAAUAAAAUAUCAAUACUUGGUGUCUGUGCAUCUUCGUCCGUCCUAACGAGUCUCUUUUGCACGUCCCUGUCGCAGGCUCAACCUGUGGGUCCGACACCAGCAGCCUCAGUGUUUGGCUUGAAGAGAGCUUUGGCAAAUUCUCUGUCUACGUGGACUACCAAGACCUGCGUGCACUCAACGAGGCAUUUGGAAGUGUAAGGGGCCCACCGUGCCACUUGGUUGUUCUGGUGACUGCUUUGAGCAUGCACGUUGUUUCUACAGACGUUGUUGUUGUUGUUUUCCCUUCUGCAGUUCCAGGCACUGGACCUUCUGAGUGCCUCUCAAGUUGCUCAGCUGACCCUAACAUCUGGAGCGCUGAACAACGCAGAUCUGAUCACCAUGGUCUUUGAGCGUCUUGACGGCAGCAAUGCUUUCCAGGAUGUGGACCAGUUCUUGACGGUUCUCACCCAGACCUCGCAGGUACGUUCCCAUCCAUGAGAUGGCAAGCGCGCAGCUGUUCCGCUUUGU
rnacentral:lncRNA from 1 species